GACGAACGCUGGCGGCGUGCUUAACACAUGCAAGUCGAACGGACAGGCCCUGCUUUUGUUGGUUGCUCGUUUGGCGAACGGGUGAGUAACACGUGAGUAUCCUGCCCUUGUCUUUGGGAUAACUUCAGGAAACUGGGGCUAAUACCCGAUAGGAUCUCUUGCUGCAUGUUGGUGGUUGGUAAGUUUCGGCGGUUGGGGAUGGACUCGCGGCUUAUCAGCUUGUUUGUGGGGUAGUGGCUUACCAAGGCUUCGACGGAUAGCCGGCCUGAGAGGGUGACCGGCCACAUUGGGACUGAGAUACGGACCAGAAUCCUACGGGAGGCAGCAGUGGGGAAUAUUGCACAAUGGGCGGAAGCCUGAUGCAGAAACGCCGCGUGCGGGAUGACGGCCUUCGGGUUAUAAACAGCUUUCGAAGGUGACGAAGAGUGAGUGACGGUAAUGGGUAAAGAAGCACCGGCUAACUACGUG
rnacentral:rRNA from 1 species